UUCAAUUUUCUCCCGUCUCUCUCCCUUCUCUUUUUUUUUUAUUUUAAUAUUAAAUUAUUAUUAUAAUUGUAGUAAUCUUUGAAGUUGUCCAAUAAUGAAUAAACUCACUUAGGGGAAAUAAGAUUAAACACAUAUAUUUUUCACACCGAGAAAAAGUCAAGAUUCUACGCUUGGAGCACAAGGCAAAAAGGUUUCGUCGAUUACAAGGAAGAUGGUCCGUUAUUUGUCUUGGAUCUGCCAAAUUUGCUUAAUAUUCUUUGCUCUCGAAAAAGCAGAGAAAAUGUGUGUGAGGUGACAAGAUCCUCGCAUGAAAAACUGGGAUGCGAACACGUGUCUCUUAAAUCCCGGAUGCAUACCCAGCGGUGAUACCGACAGUUUAGAUAAUUUGAGUCCAGACAAAUUGGUUUACAAAAAUAAUUAUAAAAAAAUUAUCGUCUGUCGUAUUGUUGCCCAAAACAAAAUAUAUAUUUCAAAUUAACUGAAAACUUUUAAGUUAAAAGAGAGAUCAGAAUUUUGAUGUGUAGUUAUUGUUGUGUAUUUAUUAUGUAUUUUAUUUUAUUAAUGUGAUUGAUUGUUUUAUUUUUUUUAAUAAAAAAUAAUUAAUUUAAUUAAUCAACUACUUAAAAAGUGACUAUACCUAAUAAAUUAUGAGGUUUUUCAAAAUUUUUAAAUGGCAGGAAACCUUGAAUUUACAAGGAUCUGUUUGGCACGACAGGUGUACAUAAUAAUUUGGCUUUGGCCAUUAUGCCUCAAAUUGCUGGCAUAACAUGUUAGUCAAGUUUUUAUUUUUCGUAGUCAAAUUGAUAUUUGAUUCUAUGAUUAUUUAAUAAUUAUUUCUUAAGUGAUAAGAAAAUUAUUAAAAUUUUGAAACUAUAGAUGUUAUGUUCGGUGAGAUGGAAACCUACACGUGUCAGUAUGUUAUGAUAGCUUCCGGUCAUCACAGGCCCAACAGUUGAAUAGAUACGGGGAUAGACGGUGCAUAGCGGGCCAGGUUUACGGUUACGAUAGAAUUGAAUUAUUAGCUGACAGUUGAUGGUAUUAAAAGCCGUGGUUUCGAUUGAGUAUGGCCGACAUUAAAAGACAUGGACCAAAGCCAGUGGGGCCCUAUGUUGUCCAUUUUUGUAGAAAAACCCCUUUGUCUUUGAGGAUAUAUUUGGUAUUGUUCAGAGCCUUUACUGAGGUGCAGUGAGGUGGUUGCAGAAUUGUUUUUCCCAACUUUGGACCACACAAGCGGACAAGUGGAAGACGCGUGUGAUUGCCUCUUUAUUCACGUUAUCUCUGUUUAUUAUUAUUUCUUUCUCGCAUCUGUUCAAUUAGUGUACAGGAAGAGCUGUCUUUUGUUUGUUUUGUCAGGCUACAAAAUUAGAGAACUGACGAUAGCAAAUAAUUAGAGGGUGUAUGAAAAAAUAAAAAAUAAAAAUACAUCGAAUUAAAGUAGAAAUAUAAGAGUAGAAGGUGAGGUGCACAUAAAAUUUAAAAAGAAAAGGAUAAUGAAAUAUUAGUUCGGGUCCAGGGAAGGAGGGGACUGUUAUAGGCGGGUCGGUUGUAUAGGUCUCUUGGUUGUGGCUGUAAACACGAUUACUUGUCCAAUAAUUGUCGGAUUAUUUUAUUGGGUGUUUGCUACUCUUUCAGGAUUUUGCCCCCUCAAAGUUAGCAGAAGUCUAAUUU